rnacentral:lncRNA from 1 species
ACAACAACAACCUCCCCAAAUCCCAAUAUUCUCUCCUCAAAUCUCUCCAACUAUCCCUCCUUAAUUCUCUCUAUGACCAAUUCAAACUCCAUUUAGCAGUAUUUCAAUCCAACUCUACCACGCACAUGAAUUAGGCAGCAAAAUAAAUACUCCUUUUUUGAUGCAUCACCACUCGAACCUUAGACCCCAUGUACACUCCACACGCCCC